rnacentral:rRNA from 1 species
UAGGGAAUCUUCCGCAAUGGGCGAAAGCUUGACGGAGCAACGCCGCGUGAGUGAUGAAGGUCUUCGGAUCGUAAAACUCUGUUAUUAGGGAAGAACAAAUGUGUAAGUAACUAUGCACGUCUUGACGGUACCUAAUCAGAAAGCCACGGCUAACUACGUGCCAGCAGCCGCGGUAAUACGUAGGUGGCAAGCGUUAUCCGGAAUUAUUGGGCGUAAAGCGCGCGUAGGCGGUUUUUUAAGUCUGAUGUGAAAGCCCACGGCUCAACCGUAGAGGGUCAUUGGAAACUGGAAAACUUGAGUGCAGAAGAGGAAAGUGGAAUUCCAUGUGUAGCGGUGAAAUGCGCAGAGAUAUGGAGGAACACCAGUGGCGAAGGCGACUUUCUGGUCUGUAACUGACGCUGAUGUGCGAAAGCGUGCGGAUCAAACAGG